CAGAUAACCGACCAAUUCUUCAUUAUAAAUGGAUUUCUGUAUGCACAAAAUCAAAGUAAAAUGAAUUUUAGAUUGCAUCAUGUGAGCUAACUCUAAAAAGUCAAGGGAUUGCAUAAAUAAUUUGGAAAGGAUAGUGAGUAAAAUGAAAUUCUUUUGGAUUAUGGAAAGAAUACAACUCAGCUAUCUGGAAAACUCAACAAACAGUUUGGUGAGCAUCAUUAUGACCAUUACAUCGAACUCUUUAUCAGG